rnacentral:SRP_RNA from 2 species
GCUGGGUGUGGUGGCGGGCGCCUGUAGUCCCAGCUACUCGGGAGGCUGAGGCAGGAGAAUCUCUUGUACCCGGGAGGAGGAGGUUGCAGUGAGUUGAGAUCGCACCACUGCACUCCAGCCUGGGUGACAGAGCGAGACUCUGCCUCAA